rnacentral:snoRNA from 1 species
UCGACUGUACUUGCACAGGAUCACUUCUACAGUGAUUCCUCUUGCAUACACAACAGUCAUCAGAACACCUCACAAUCACAGAGGAUGACUGCUAGCUUCCUCCAACAAAGAAAUUGCUUCACUGCUUGAUGAAGUGCUUGGAGGAGCUGCAUCUGAUGUGAU